rnacentral:tRNA from 1 species
ACCACAUGAAAGCAUAAUUGGCAGGACUUAAAAUCCUGUGGCCAGUGAUGGCCGUGCGGGUUCAAGUCCCGCCCCGGGUA